CAUAUUAAAAAGAUAUUUAGUGAAUUGGACACAUUUAUCAAGAGACAUUUGUGACUGUUCUUUUCAAAAGAGGAAAUGACACAUGUUCUAAGAUAACUAUUAUAUUCUAUUCUUAAGCUGGAUGGCAGUUCACUUUACUCAUCUUCAUAAAUUCAACAUAAUGUGAAAACAAAAUUUUAGAACAGGGUUUUUUGAAGGUAAUAGAGAAAAUGACUGACAUUAGUGUACAUUAGUUCAGAAAAUAAACUAAACAAAAUGUGCAAUUUUAUACCCUGUAAAAUGAAGUACGUGUAUAUUUUUAAAACACACAAUCUUCAUAUAGUUCACUGAAACGCCUUGGUGCUGUUUCCUUAGACCAGCGGCUGAGGUGUCUGCCCGAGUCCCUCUUCUCUGGAAGCCGCUACCCUCCAUCCAUGAACUGCAGAAAUUUGUUGCCCAGCUGCUUUGCUCAAGGUGCUAUCAAGAGGCAAAAGACUAGCAGAGACUUCAACUCUACUCUCAAGAUCUCAAGAGGCAACAAAGUGAAACUUGUGGCUCACUAAAAAGAAGAUUGAAUCUAUAAAGUGAAGGUGGAGGCCUCCACCAGGCUUCAUGGAGAAACAUGAUGUUGAAGCAUACUGACAGAUGCUGUGAGCUGCAAUGGGAUCAAACUCGGGUCCUUGCUCUUGCGCAGCAGGCGGUGAAACCACUGAACUACAUGCCCGGUCCAAUGAUGCAGUAUUAAAAUCUAGUUAGCAUAGAUGAAUGGAAGACUAUACAGUAAACAACAUCAUCCUAAACCUUCAGCACCUAGUGAUUGCCUUCCAUGAUGAUGAUGGCCUCCUAAGUU